GUGUAUAUCUUAAGGAAAACGAUAUGAAAUGUUUCUAGAACUAUAUGGUGAUGAUCAUGAUGGUUGUUGAAUAUGAAAUUAUUGAUCUUAGUUGAAAGUUGGGUUGAAUUGAAGAUUAUGUCAACUUGUGAGAAAAAUGGCUAGUUGAAGGAUAUUUGUGUUUUAAUGUUCAUUGUUGAUAUUGUUGUUGUCGUUUGGGUUGUUGUUGAUGAUUUAUAGCCGAGUUGAAUUCUCGGGGUGUCAUAUGUAUAGGGGAAGUGCUGCCGAAAUUUCGGUAGCCAAAUAUGCUUAAAGUUGAAAUAAUGGCAUUAAUAAUUCACAAUUGGUAAACUUGACCAAUUGCAGUUUUUCGACGAAACGGGAAGUGAGUUUGGAAAGGCUUAAGGAGCGCGAAAGGUACUGACGACAGGUUCGCUGAUCCACACGUUUAGGAUCCUAUUUCUGCUAUUUGGGGCGCUCUCUUCUACAGGGCCCAUCUUUUGGUACAGUCUGUCACUGCUAUCUGGAUAUGUACUUUGUUCAAGGUAUGACGGGGCCCUGUCCCGUCUUAUGAUUAUGAUAUGUUCUGUAGAGGUCUGUGGAUACAUCUGUGUGGGUUCUGUACAUAUGUUUGGGAUAUUCUGUUCUGUGAUGGCCUUAUCGGCCUAUGUGUGCCAAGUCUGCUUUUCUGCUAAAUUCUGUAGCGACCACUAAUAUUAUUAUUAUAUUAUUAUUCUGUUAA